rnacentral:rRNA from 1 species
GGGAGUACGGCCGCAAGGUUAAAACUCAAAUGAAUUGACGGGGGCCCGCACAAGCGGUGGAGCAUGUGGUUUAAUUCGAUGCAACGCGAAGAACCUUACCUGGUCUUGACAUCCACAGAACCUUGUAGAGAUACGAGGGUGCCUUCGGGAACUGUGAGACAGGUGCUGCAUGGCUGUCGUCAGCUCGUGUUGUGAAAUGUUGGGUUAAGUCCCGCAACGAGCGCAACCCUUAUCCUUUGUUGCCAGCGGUCCGGCCGGGAACUCAAAGGAGACUGCCAGUGAUAAACUGGAGGAAGGUGGGGAUGACGUCAAGUCAUCAUGGCCCUUACGACCAGGGCUACACACGUGCUACAAUGGCGCAUACAAAGAGAAGCGACCUCGCGAGAGCAAGCGGACCUCAUAAAGUGC